CACGUAGGGCGCGAGCGUUGUCCGGAAUUAUUGGGCGUAAAGAGCUCGUAGGCGGCCUGUUGCGUCCGCUGUGAAAGCCCGGGGCUUAACCCCGGGUCUGCAGUGGAUACGGGCAGGCUAGAGGUAGGUAGGGGAGAAUGGAAUUCCCGGUGUAGCGGUGAAAUGCGCAGAUAUCGGGAAGAACACCCGUGGCGAAGGCGGCUCUCUGGGACGGUACUGACGCUG
rnacentral:rRNA from 1 species